rnacentral:rRNA from 1 species
UACGGAGGGUGCAAGCGUUAUCCGGAUUUACUGGGUUUAAAGGGUGCGUAGGCGGGCCCUUAAGUCAGUGGUGAAAGUUCCGAGCUUAACUCGGAAACUGCCAUUGAUACUAUAGGUCUUGAAUUCGGUCGAGGUUGGCGGAAUGUGUCGUGUAGCGGUGAAAUGCUUAGAUAUGACACAGAACACCGAUUGCGAAGGCAGCUAGCUAGACCGACAUUGACGCUGAGGCACGAAAGCGUGGGGAUCAAACAGG